rnacentral:rRNA from 1 species
CCUACGGGAGGCUGCAGUGGGGAAUAUUGGGCAAUGGGCGCAAGCCUGAUCCAGCAACGCCGCGUGAAGGAAGAAGGCUUUCGGGUUGUAAACUUCUUUUGUCAGGGACGAAGCAAGUGACGGUACCUGACGAAUAAGCCACGGCUAACUACGUGCCAGCAGCCGCGGUAAUACGUAGGCGGCAAGCGUUAUCCGGAUUUAUUGGGUGUAAAGGGCGGGUAGGCGGGAAUGCAAGUCAGAUGGGAAAACUAUGGGCUCAACCCAGAGCCUGCAUUUGAAACUGUAUUUCUUGAGUGCUGGAGAGGCAGGCGGAAUUCCGUGUGUAGCGGUGAAAUGCGUAGAUAUACGGAGGAACACCAGUGGCGAAGGCGGAUUGCUGGACAGUGACUGACGCUGAGGCGCGAAAGCGUGGGGAGCAAACAGGAUUAGAUACCCGAGUAGUC